AACGAACGCUGGCGGCGUGCCUAACACAUGCAAGUCGAGCGAGAAAGCCCGCAAGGGUGAGUAAAGCGGCGCACGGGUGAGUAACACGUGGGUAAUCUGCCCUAGAGUCCGGAAUAACUCGCCGAAAGGCGUGCUAAUGCCGGAUGAGACCACGGGAGCCUCGGCUCUCGCGGGAAAAGGUGGCCUCUGUACACAAGCUAUCGCUCUAGGAUGAGCCCGCGGCCCAUCAGCUCGUUGGCGGGGUAAUGGCCCACCAAGGCUACGACGGGUAGCUGGUCUGAGAGGACGAUCAGCCACACUGGAACUGAGACACGGUCCAGACUCCUACGGGAGGCAGCAGUGGGGAAUCUUGCGCAAUGGGCGAAAGCCUGACGCAGCAAGGCCGCGUGUGUGAUGAAGGUCUUCGGAUCGUAAAGCACUGUCGCGAGGGACGAAUAAGGGGCGGGCGAACAUCCCGUUCCGAUGACGGUACCUCGAGAGGAAGCACCGGCUAACUCUGUGCCAGCAGCCGCGGUAAUACAGAGGGUGCGAGCGUUGUUCGGAAUUAUUGGGCGUAAAGCGCGUGUAGGCGGCCUUGCAAGUUGGGUGUGAAAGCCCUCGGCUUAACCGAGGAAGUGCGCCCAAAACUACGAGGCUUGAGUGCCGGAGAGGGUGGCGGAAUUCCCGGUGUAGAGGUGAAAUUCGUAGAUAUCGGGAGGAACACCAGUGGCGAAGGCGGCCACCUGGACGGUAACUGACGCUGAGACGCGAAAGCGUGGGGAGCAAACAGGAUUAGAUACCCUGGUAGUCCACGCUGUAAACGAUGAGCGCUAGGUGUUGUGGGUGUUGACCCCCGCAGUGCCGCAGCUAACGCAUUAAGCGCUCCGCCUGGGAAGUACGGCCGCAAGGCUAA
rnacentral:rRNA from 1 species